CUGCUCCAUCCAAGGCGCCCGCGGCUCCACCCUCGGACUCGCGGCGUCGCUGUCGAACCGCUCGAACUGCGUGUCGUCCACGUAGCCGACGGCGAUGAAGCGGGGCUCCCCGCGGCCGGGCCGGGACACGCCGGUCUCGGUCAGGGUCAGGGCCCCCGAGAGCAGCAGGAGGAGGGUUCGAGGCGCCAUAACAGGGAUCCUCGCCAUCUGGGGAGAAUCUGAGUCCCGGCUGAUCAGUGCGGUUGUAAAAACCCGGAACGGCGGAAACGCUGAUGGGCUUCCCUAGAAACCGGACACGCAAUGGGAGUGAGAACUGGGGCCGCGUCAAGAGUCUCCAGCAGGAGGACCUGACACAGGUUGU